rnacentral:rRNA from 1 species
AUUGAACGCUGGCGGUAUGCUUAACACAUGCAAGUCGAACGGUAGCAGGCCUUCGGGCGCUGACGAGUGGCGGACGGGUGAGUAACGCGUAGGAAUCUGCCUCAUAGUGGGGGACAACGUGUGGAAACGCACGCUAAUACCGCAUACGCCCUACGGGGGAAAGCGGGGGACCUUUGGGCCUCGCGCUAUGAGAUGAGCCUGCGUUAGAUUAGCUAGUUGGUGGGGUAAAGGCCUACCAAGGCGACGAUCUAUAGCUGGUCUGAGAGGACGAUCAGCCACACUGGGACUGAGACACGGCCCAGACUCCUACGGGAGGCAGCAGUGGGGAAUAUUGGACAAUGGGCGCGAGCCUGAUCCGGCAAUACCGCGUGUGUGAAGAAGGCCCUAGGGUUGUAAAGCACUUUCAAUAGGGAGGAAAACCUGCCGGUCAAUACCCGGUAGCUUGACAUUACCUAUACAAGAAGCACCGGCUAACUCCGUGCCAGCAGCCGCGGUAACAC